AGCGGCGCACCCCUGAGAAAUGCUUAGGAAUCUGCCUAUUAGUGGGGGACAACAUCUCGAAAGGGAUGCUAAUACCGCAUACGUCCUACGGGAGAAAGCAGGGGAUCACUUGUGACCUUGCGCUAAUAGAUGAGCCUAAGUCGGAUUAGCUAGUUGGUGGGGUAAAGGCCUACCAAGGCGACGAUCUGUAGCGGGUCUGAGAGGAUGAUCCGCCACACUGGGACUGAGACACGGCCCAGACUCCUACGGGAGGCAGCAGUGGGGAAUAUUGGACAAUGGGGGGAACCCUGAUCCAGCCAUGCCGCGUGUGUGAAGAAGGCCUUAUGGUUGUAAAGCACUUUAAGCGAGGAGGAGGCUCUUUUGGUUAAUACCCAAGAUGAGUGGACGUUACUCGCAGAAUAAGCACCGGCUAACUCUGUGCCAGCAGCCGCGGUAAUACAGAGGGUGCAAGCGUUAAUCGGAUUUACUGGGCGUAAAGCGCGCGUAGGCGGCCAAUUAAGUCAAAUGUGAAAUCCCCGAGCUUAACUUGGGAAAUUGCAUUCGAUACUGGUUGGCUAGAGUGUGGGAGAGGAUGGUAGAAUUCCAGGUGUAGCGUGAAAUGCGUAGAGAUCUGGAGGAUACCGAUGGCGAAGGCAGCCAUCUGGCCUAACACUGACGCUGAGGUGCGAAAGCAUGGGAGCAAACAGGAUUAGAUACCCUGGUAGUCCAUGCCGUAACGAUGUCUACUAGCCGUUGGGGCCUUUUGAGGCUUUAGUGCCGCAGCUAACGCGAUAAGGUAGACCGCCUGGGGGAGUACGGUCGCAAGGACUAAAACUCAAAUGGAUUUGGAC
rnacentral:rRNA from 1 species